AUGUCUGUUCCCUACAGAUAUCCACCUGAGACAGAAUUGAAAACUGGUGAAGUCAAUGCACUUCCUGACUCCUCAGGACCACUCCCACAGCACAGAGCUCUCCUGCCACCUCUUUCACUUCCCAGGGGAUCCAAUAUGACACCUUGGGUGAGAAGCUCAGAGAGUUCAUGCUCCCAGAAAGGUUUGUCUCUCAUUCUUUUCCACUUACUACAGUAGCCACCCUUUGGAAGUGGAAGGGAGACUGGGACUGCAGUGAGUGCACGGAGUGCAGAGAGACACUUGUACUCAGAUUAUGCCACCAAUUUUUCUGAGUGUCCCUGGUCAACCUAGUCAACUUGCCUGUAAGAUAAAAGCAACCAGAUAGGAUUACAAUCCUCUGAAUCACUUCUGAGGGCAGUUGGCUCUAGUAACCGUGGCUUCCUGACAGCAAGACAGACUCUUUCUGGAGGGAGUAAUGCUUGUGUUAAGUUUUGCAUCUCAGAAGGUUUAUUUUUUGCUGAGAUGUAAUUCAUACAGCAUGUAACUCAUCCUCUUAACAGGAAGUGUUGCUCUGGUCUACCAUGAAUUCCAUGGACAUAGGAGACUGGCAGGCUGCAGUCCAUGAGGUCAUGAAGAGCCUGCAUAUGCACGCAGUCAUUGGUCUGAAUGAUCAUGUCCCUCUAAAUUCCUGUGUUGACAAUGCAUGCGCUGUGUGAUAAGAUGCACUGCUAUUAGGCGGUGGGGUCUUUGGGAGGUGAUUUGGUCCUGAGGGCAGAGCCCACGUGAAUGGGAUUAGCACCUUCACAGAACAGACUGCAGAGACCCUUGCCUCUUCCUCCAUAUAAGGACACAGAGAGAAGUGGGCAGUCUGUCAUUUGGGAGAGGUCUCUGAUCAGAACCUCACUGACAUGGUAUCUUGAUCUUGAACUUCCAGCCUCCAGAACUGUGAACAAUAAAUUUCUAUUGUUUAUAAGCCAUCCAGUCUGUGAUAUUUUGUUAUAGCAGUCUGAACAAACUAAGAUAAGUGGGUUUUAGUAUUAUAUAUCCAUAAGGUUGUUCAACCAUCAUUAGAUUAAUUAUAGAACAUCAUUCUUAAGAGAAACCAUAUAUCCAAUAGCAAUCACAUCCUGUACCCUCCUAAGUGCUGUUAUGGUUCACUAAUAAACUUUCUAUCUCUAUGGAUUUACCUAUUUUGAACAUCUCGUGUAAACAGAUUCAUCUAGUAUGUGGCUUUUUGUGAGCAGCUUCAUAU
rnacentral:lncRNA from 1 species